rnacentral:rRNA from 1 species
UACAGAGGUCUCAAGCGUUGUUCGGAUUCAUUGGGCGUAAAGGGUGCGUAGGCGGCGCGGUAAGUCGGGUGUGAAAUCUCGGGAGCUUUAACUCCGAAACUGCAUUCGAUACUGCGGUGCUUGAGGACUGGAGAGGAGACUGGAAUUCAUGGUGUAGCAGUGAAAUGCGUAGAGAUCAUGAGGAAGACCAGUGGCGAAGGCGGGUCUCUGGACAGUUCCUGACACUGAGACACGAAGGCCAGGGGAGCAAACGGG